GACGGAGGGUGCUAGCGUUGUUCGGAAUCACUGGGCGUAAAGGGCGCGUAGGCGGCCCAUGCAGUCGGCCGUGAAAGCCCGGGGCUCAACCCCGGAGGUGCGGUCGAAACACAUGGGCUGGAGGCCGGAAGAGGAGGGUGGAAUACCCAGUGUAGAGGUGAAAUUCGUAGAUAUUGGGUGGAACACCGGUGGCGAAAGCGGCUCUCUGGUCCGGACCUGACGCUGAGGCGCGAAAGCGUGGGGAGCAAAC
rnacentral:rRNA from 1 species